AUCGGAUCAGAUAGUGUGGUGGUC
rnacentral:siRNA from 1 species